AAUGCAACAAUUAUUAUAUUUUAUGAUUGAUUGACCAAUAGAAAUAAAAUACCCUGGUGUGGAAAUGUAUCAAUGAGAUUGGUUUCACACUUCUUAGUUUUUCAUUGAAAAAUUGGAAAAUUAUGAUAUUAUAUAACAUCAUGAAAUGUGAAAUAAAGAAAAAAUACCGUAAAAUUGCUGCAUUGCGAACUGAAACGACAAAAGAAACAAACACAUUUUCGCAUUUAUAAGAGAGGAUGUAUUUCUAUGCUUUAUAGUUUUGAGACAACAAUUAUCCAUUGAAUUCCUAAGUGUGGUAGAAACUAUGCAUGAAUUGAAAACUAGUCUAAUCUAAUAGAAAAAAUUUAUUAGCCCAAUAAUGCUCAUAUGUGUAUAAUUUGUACAUAGUUUAAGAAAUACUUUUGUAUUGCAAUACAAUAAAUAUUAUACUUUUAAUA